rnacentral:rRNA from 1 species
CCUACGGGAGGCAGCAGUGGGGAAUUUUGGACAAUGGGGGCAACCCUGAUCCAGCCAUGCCGCGUGAGUGAAGAAGGCCUUCGGGUUGUAAAGCUCUUCACGAAAACGUCUGGUACCCGAAGAAGAAGCACCGGCUAACUACGUGCCAGCAGCCGCGGUAAUACGUAGGGUGCGAGCGUUAAUCGGAAUUACUGGGCGUAAAGCGUGCGCAGGUGGUUUCGUAAGUCAGAUGUGAAAUCCCCGGGCUUAACCUGGGAAUGGCAUUUGAGACUGCGAAGCUAGAGUACGGCAGAGGGAGGUGGAAUUCCACGUGUAGCAGUGAAAUGCGUAGAUAUGUGGAGGAACACCGAUGGCGAAGGCAGCCUCCUGGGCCAGACUGACGCUCAUGCACGAAAGCGUGGGGAGCAAACAGGAUUAGAUACCCUUGUAGUC